AUGGAAGAACCGCCAGGGCGAGUUGAAGAUGGUGCUUCGCCUGGCUUUAAAAAGAAAAAAGAGACUUCCAGGAAAAGGACUCCAUUGAAAAACAAAGUAGGUGUUGAGAAAUCAAAUGGCAAUAAAGGACAAGCUCCACCUCUAGGACGACCAGUUGAAAAAGAAGUUGAUGAUGUAAUGCUUGAGUUUGAUCAGUAUGUCAUGUACCAUGAUAUGAAGAAAAAAACAGAGGAAAUUAUUAGUAGUCAAGAAAAAAUUCUAAGUCAGGGAAGAAGUUGUAGCAGUCCUGUAGGGACGCAACGAUUUGUGAAUGAAAGUUGUUCUCUGGAAGUUGCCAAGGAAGGUGCAAAGGAGUUCGAGCAGUCACUAGAUUGUAGUGUGCUACAAACUGAAAUUGAGGCAACAAUAGAAGACAAGAUCAUACAGGUGGUGGUCAAGGAUACAAAUGAUCAAGAUUUGGUUGCAAGUGGACAAGAGGCAGAAGAGUGUAGAUGUCAAUAUCCAGAUAUGCCAGAAUUAUUUGAUGAUCAGUCAGUGAAGGUGAUAGAAAAAUGUGUGGUUGAACCAAUGCCUUUGUCUACUUCAAAUUGUUUGGAUGCAAUGUCUGGAAGUAAUGGAGGGCAGAUCUCAUCAACUGGGAAGUUUAAUUUAGUGACACUGGUGGAAACAUCAGACCAGGAAGGAGUUGUUGCUCAGGAAACUUAUCAGCCUUCAGAUGAUGCAAUGAGCAGUAAGCAUUCUGAUGAGGAUAUAUCUGAUAGUGAUGCUAAACCUGAAGAGUACCUGUUCCCAACUCUGGACGAAUUGGAAAAAACAAGUAUUCCUGAACUUGGAAAGGUGUUUGCUACUUUAGAAGAUGCUGUUAGGUUUGUGAAUGUUUAUGCUCACACUACUGGUUUUGGCAUUAAGAAAGGGAGGAAUUAUAAGGACUGGAAAAUCACAAUUUGCUGCAACAAGAGUAGGAGGACUGUCUCAACAUACAAAGGAACAAGAAAACGAAAGCGUAGUGUUGUCCAAAGGACGAACUGUCAGAUGCAUGUUAUAGUUAGCUUGCAAGAUGGGAAGUGGCAUAUAACAGCUCAGAAUCUGGCUCAUAAUCAUGAUUUGGUCAGUUCUCCUUCGUUGACAAAGUUUUUCCUCAGUCAUAGAAGCAUGAAUGAAGCUGAGAAGCUACUGUCAAGGCUUUUGCAGGAACAUAGAGUGAAACCAAGGAAAAUCAUGAGCAUCUUUAGGAAGUUGAGUGGUGGCAAAUUAGGCAAUAUUACAUUUGAUUUGAAGAAGUUAGAUAACCUCAAGCGUGAUGAUCGUGAGAAGAGAAGAAAUACUGAUAUAGAGCACACUAUGGACUACAUAGAGAAGUUGCAGAUUGACAAACCUGGAUUUUUGUACAAGGCUCAAAGAGACUCUUCGAAUACAGUGCUUAGUUUGUUCUGGACUGAUUCUAGAUCAAGGCUAGACUAUUUGCUGUAUGGUGAUAUCAUAUCCUUUGAUACAACAUUCAGUACCAACAAGUACAAUAUGCCGUUUGCGCCAAUAAUUGGAGUUAAUGGCCACUCGAGAACAAUAGUAUUUGGGUGGGCCCUUUUGCAGGAUGAGAAGGCAGACACGUUUGCUUGCUUGUUUAAAACUUUUGUUGAAGUCAUGGGAGGCAAGAAACCUAGAGUAGUGCUCACAGAUCAAGCUGCUGCUAUGAAGGUAGCAGUUCCAAAAGUUUUCCCAGAUGCUUUUCACAGAUUUUGUAUUUGGCAUGUCCGGAGGAAAGCAAGAGAAAACUUGAGUGUAUACAUGACAAGUAGAAAGGGAAUGGAAGAAGACAUGGAUUACUGCAUCAUGCAGUCCAUGACAGUUGAGGAAUUUGAGAAAAAUUGGUCAACCAGCAGAAGUGGGAGUUUUAACUCAAACUUUAAGGACUAUGUUUUGAGAAAAGAUUCAAUAGAGACUUUCAUACGUCAGUAUGAAUUGUUCCAGGUAAAUGUUAUUCAUAUUGAAAAUCAAGACAGAUGGACCAGAGAAUUUAGGGAGAAGGAAUUGAAGAAACAUACGUUUGAUGCACUUGGUGUUCAUGCAGAAGACCGGUCACAUGAUGCUAUGAGAUAUGCUAUUGUUAUGAACACAUUGGUGAGGUAUGCUCUGAUAUAA
rnacentral:rRNA from 1 species